UACGUAGGGUGCGAGCGUUGUCCGGAAUUACUGGGCGUAAAGAGCUCGUAGGUGGUUUGUCGCGUUGUCCGUGAAAACUCGCAACUCAAUUGUGGGCGCGCGGGCGAUACGGGCAGACUGGAGUACUGCAGGGGAGACUGGAAUUCCUGGUGUAGCGGUGGAAUGCGCAGAUAUCAGGAGGAACACCGGUGGCGAAGGCGGGUCUCUGGGCAGUAACUGACGCUGAGGAGCGAAAGCGUGGGGAGCGAACAGG
rnacentral:rRNA from 1 species